AAAGUCGUAACAAGGUUUCCGUAGGUGAACCUGCGGAAGGAUCAUUAACAAAUCUAUACACACGAUCUCUCGGCUUAACCGCUGGGAGACUCGACACACGAUAACUGUUGACGAACAUUGAGACGAUCAAUAUAAUCAACUUUUAACAAUGGAUCUCUUGGCUCUU
rnacentral:misc_RNA from 1 species